UGGCUCAGUCGGUAGAGCAUGUGACUCUUGAUCUCAGGGUUGUGAGUUCAAGCCCCAC
rfam:Ailuropoda melanoleuca scaffold1318_49, whole genome shotgun sequence.